rnacentral:misc_RNA from 1 species
UCUCCGUUGGUGAACCAGCGGAGGGAUCAUUGCUGGAAUAAACGCCCUCACGGGUGCUACCCAGAAACCCUUUGUGAACUUAUCAAAUUGUUGCCUCGGCAUUGGUUGGCUUCGAAUGAAGUCCCUUGCCCCCCUCUACAGGGAGUAAGGAGCAGACCGGCCGACGGCCCCUAUAAACUCUUGUUUUUGUACUAUCUUCUGAGUAAAACAACUAAAAUGAAUCAAAACUUUCAACAACGGAUCUCUUGGUUCUGGCAUCGAUGAAGAACGCAGC